CUACGGGAGGCAGCAGUGGGGAAUAUUGGACAAUGGGGGCAACCCUGAUCCAGCAAUGCCGCGUGUGUGAAGAAGGCCUGAGGGUUGUAAAGCACUUUCAGCAGGGAGGAAGGUUUUGAGUCGAAUAGGCUUGAAAAUUGACGUAACCUGCAGAAGAAGCACCGGCUAACUCCGUGCCAGCAGCCGCGGUAAUACGGAGGGUGCGAGCGUUAAUCGGAAUUACUGGGCGUAAAGCGCACGUAGGUGGGCUGAUAAGUCGGAUGUGAAAGCCCUGGGCUUAACCUGGGAAAGUCAUCCGAAACUGUCAGUCUAGAGUACAGUAGAGGGUAGUGGAAUUUCCGGUGUAGCGGUGAAAUGCGUAGAUAUCGGAAGGAACACCAGUAGCGAAGGCGGCUACCUGGACUGAUACUGACACUGAGGUGCGAAAGCGUGGGGAGCAAACAGGAUUAGAUACCCUCGUAGUC
rnacentral:rRNA from 1 species